rnacentral:rRNA from 1 species
GACGAACGCUGGCGGCGUGCUUAACACAUGCAAGUCGAACGCGCCUGUCCUCUGGGUUUCUGGGGGGUGGGUGAGUGGCGAACGGGUGAGUAACACGUGAGUAACCUGCCCCCUUCUUCGGGAUAACGGUCUGAAAGGGCUGCUAAUACCGGGUAUUCACUGGUCUCCGCAUGGGGUCUGGUGGAAAGGUUUUUUUCUGGUGGGGGAUGGGCUCGCGGCCUAUCAGCUUGUUGGUGGGGUGAUGGCCCACCAAGGCUUUGACGGGUAGCCGGCCUGAGAGGGUGACCGGUCACAUUGGGACUGAGAUACGGCCCAGACUCCUACGGGAGGCAGCAGUGGGGAAUAUUGCACAAUGGGCGCAAGCCUGAUGCAGCGACGCCGCGUGAGGGAUGGAGGCCUUCGGGUUGUGAACCUCUUUCGCCCGUGGUCAAGCCGCUUUCGUGGGU